rnacentral:rRNA from 1 species
UACGUAGGUGGCAAGCGUUGUCCGGAAUUAUUGGGCGUAAAGCGCGCGCAGGCGGUCCUUUAAGUCUGAUGUGAAAAGCCCACGGCUCAACCGUGGAGGGUCAUUGGAAACUGGGGGGACUUGAGUGCAGGAGAGAAGAGUGGAAUUCCACGUGUAGCGGUGAAAUGCGUAGAGAUGUGGAGGAACACCAGUGGCGAAGGCGGCUCUCUGGACCGAUACUGACGCUGAGGCGCGAAAGCGUGGGGAGCAAACAGG